UACACACCGCCCGCCACGCCAUGGAAGUCUGCUGUACCGGAAGCCGGCAAACCAACCCGCAAGGGAGGUAGCCGCCCAUGGUAUGGCCGGUGACUGGGGCG
rnacentral:rRNA from 1 species